rnacentral:ncRNA from 1 species
UUGUGGGGAGCUUGCCCAAGCAGGCUGAGAGGAGACGAAAAGGAGUCUCGACCCGAAAAACCUGAUUUGGGUAAUGCCAACGUAGGGAAGGAU